AUGCUGCAUCUUUCAUACAACCCAGAUGCAACAAACCAAACAAUAUCUGAGCUGAGCCUGCCCUAUACCAUGCAGCACACCAAAUACACAUUUCACCUCAUGUUUGCAUCAGCUCAAGCAGGCCAGCCCCAACCAAACUCCUUCAUGCAAUGCAUGCAAGAUGCACCCAGGCAACCAAACACGCCCUAUGCCAAUCCGCAUGAUGACAAGGAGCCACUUGCCGGCGAGGACUGCCCGCGGCAGCAGGGCAAGAGUGAUGGGACUCCUAUUGGCCACCAAUACUUUGUCACAGCGCAGCAGUCACGUCGCGGUCCCUGCUAUGCAAGGCAACGCUCCAAUAGAGAGCGGAGGUGGAAUUUUCUCAUAUUUGCAACCCAUAUGUCGUAG
rnacentral:rRNA from 1 species